rnacentral:sRNA from 1 species
GGGCAGCCACCGCCGAAUCCGGCCCCCUUCCCCAGGGCGUCCGGAACCGGGGACCCAGACGCGGCACCGGGGUGAAUCGGUCACCGCGCGGCGCGCACCGCGCCUCGCACCGACCGUAGGGCAGCCUUCCGAAUACGCCCGAACCCGACAGCUAACCCGGUAGGCGGUCCACGGAAGGAGCG